GGAAAAACCAGUUUGAUCAAGUUAUAACUAGGCCAGGAGGACAGGGCACAAAGGGGGUGACAAGAUGGAGUUCACAAAAUGCUGGCCUCCUGAUGGCCAGACAUGAGUCACUCAAAGCCUUCAUGAAGCAAGAGGCCAGGCUGCUACUCGCUUCCUAUUUGGGUCCAGCAGGUGAUGGCGAAAGUCCAGUCCCAGUGGAGCCGAGGGAACCUUUCCCAGUUAGCUCAUCAUCACAAGGAUUUGGCAUUUGGUCCCUAUAUAAAGGGAAGAAUCAGAAGCAGAGCUACAGGCAGAGGGAGAGGGACAAAGUGGACAGCUGCCUCUUCUCCUCCACCUUUGAUGCGAUAAGUCAGAGGGGCUGGAGCUGCUGAACAAUGCGCUCGGACAUGGGGCUCGGAAAGGCCAAGCUGCUCCUGUGGGCCAGGAUGGUCGUGCUCUGGGGCAUGCCUAACCUUCCUCUCAGUGUGGUAUCUGGGGAAAUUCUGGGGCCUUCCCCUCCGCGCCUUCUUGGAAGAGAAUUCAUCACAGCCUUCAUGCAGAACGGCUUACAACAAACACUCAACAGCGACUUCCGGCUAUUCAUCACAGGCUACGCCCCGGCCACAUUGAUCACCAUCUCCAUGAAGAAGCCGGCGCUCAGGGUGCCCAUCCAGGUGAAUGCUGGCCAGACCGCAACGGUGUUA